UCCAUUCUGACAAGGUUCUUCCUCACUUUCACACACACCGCCCAGCCAAGCUUAUUUUGAUGCCAUCAAGACUCAAACGUGCCUUGCCGGGGACCCUCCAACUUCUUCAGGGGCAGAACGGAUAGCGGCACAACCACAGAUAAACAGAAACAGCUGGCUGAUUAGGCUCGCAUGCCAUAGGCGCUGGGGCACCGUGCCUGGACAAGACAUUUUGUGCAAUAAACGCAGCCUAGCGAUUCGCCUUCCGAAGCCUCCGCUACAACUUUCCCGUCCGCACCAGACCUGUGAAACCAAUCCCAGAGGUCGAUUUCACCAAACACUGUUUUGACUCCGAAGCAGAGGCGGUGAUGGACAAUUCCUCCUGAGAACAUGAAGAAUUCUGCCUUCCUCCUAAAUCAAAGCACAGAUUUCCUCACACACUAUAAGUAUGCCUUUGUGGUCUGCAUCCCUGCAAGAUGUGAGUUUCUGAGGGGCAGAGGCCAUAUAUAUGUUGAGUGUGGAAUGCAGAAUAUUUUGAGAAAGGUCAUGUUGAUAACCUGAACUGGGAUUGUUCUUAAAAACACAAGUGAUCUUCAGACAAAGAUUGAACACUGAAGAAGUCCUGUUUGAGGUAGCAAUCUCCAGGCCCUUGGAUGGUCAUCUUGCUCAGUCAUUGGCUGGAGGCCACUUGAAGAGAAUAGUCCUUUUGCUCAAAAGAAGCAGAUUCUUCAGCUGUUAUUACCUGGAGACUACCUUUCCUUGAAAGAGUUCUGAAAAGACUUCUUCCUAUGCCCCAUCCUUAGAGAACAAAGAAUCUAACUUCCAUGCAGUGUUUACCCUAAGGCUAUCUUCAUAGAAGCCAGGGACAGCGGUGUUAUGUGAUGACUGGCAAGAGGCCACACUCAUAGGCAACGUCCAUCUGAUUGCUAGAGAUUUUUCUAUUAUAUUCCAGUUGACAUUUGCUUCAGCAUCAGAAGAAAACUUCUGUUGUAGGACAAGAAAGACCUUGGAGAGCAAACCUGUCACCUCAUGGCAGCUCUAAAACAGCCUUCAUUUUCCAUGUGGUGCAUGUUCAGAAGGAGGAAGCGAUUAACGAUACUUCUGUUAGUGACAAGAAGCUGCAUCUGUCUCUUAUAAAAAUGAUUCCACUUCUACAAAGUGAUGAGGUUAAGCUGGGUAAACUCUAAAACUUCUUUGUCAUCUGAAAUAUCUUUGUCCUAUGAACCACACACAGCAGAAUACUGUGAAGAACAGUUGUAUUUCUGGCUACUUCGAGGCAUCAGGCGAACACAGAUUUGGGUGGAAUGGCUCACAAAAGGAAAAGCAAAGUGUUUGAAAUUCAGUCUCACUGCCUCAUCCUGCUGAAUGAAGGGACUUUGACACUGAUCCUGGAGAGGAGGCUGGAGCUAGAAUGUUCCUUUUUCUGUCCAAUUCCCUGCCCUUCAUUUUUGAAUGUUGGAACCAAGUUUCAAGUCAAAAAAGGAAAAAAAAAAACA